rnacentral:rRNA from 1 species
GACGAACGCUGGCGGCGUGCCUAAUACAUGCAAGUCGAACGCAGUGGGGACGGGUGAGUAACACGUGGGUAACCUCCCAUCAGAGGGGAUAACACGUGGAAACAGGUGCUAAACCGAUACUGGAUGAUGUACCCGGGGUGGAUUAGCUAGUUGGUGGGGUAACGGCGCACCAAGGCCACGAUGCAUAGCCGACUGGAGAGGGUGACCGGCCACACUGGGACUGAGACACGGCCCAGACUCCUACGGGAGGCAGCAGUAGGGAAUAUUCGGCAAUGGACGAAAGUCUGACCGAGCAACGCCGCGUGAGUGAAGAAGGUUUUCGGAUCGUAAAACUCUGUUGUUAGAGAAGCGGUAUCUAACCAGAAAGCCACGGCUAACUACGUGCCAGCAGCCGCGGUAAUAC